rnacentral:rRNA from 1 species
AUCGCCCUUUGAAAUUAAAUAAAUAAAGGGUACUGCCUGCCCGGUGACAAAAGUUAAACGGCCGCGGUAUUUUGACCGUGCAAAGGUAGCAUAAUCAUUUGUUCUUUAAUUGAGGACUAGUAUGAAAGGCAAAACGAAAGCUUAACUGUCUCCCUUUUUAAAAAAGAAAUUAGUAUUUUUGUGAAGAAACAAAAAUAAUCAAGUAAGACGAGAAGACCCUGUCGAGCUUAAGAAAAUUUUUAUAAUAAUAUUACAUAGAUAAUAAAACUAAUUUUACUAUAAAAUUAUGAUAAAAAUAUCUUUGGUUGGGGCAACCACGAAGAAAAAAAAACCUUCGUUCAAAAAAAGAAAUUAACAAAUUUAAAAAUUAUCUAAAAUAUAAAAGAUCCAGAAAAUUCUGAUCAAAGAAAAAAGUUACCGCAGGGAUAACAGCGUUAUUCUCUUUAAGAGCCCAUAUUGACAAGAGAGUUUGCGACCUCGAUGUUGGAUCGGGGCACCCGAGAGGUGUAGCAGCCUCUAAAGGUAGGUCUGUUCGACCUUUAAAGCCCUACGUGAU